UUGCUGGCGACCGGCGCACGGGUGAGUAACACGUAUCCAACCUGCCGAUAACUCGGGGAUAGCCUUUCGAAAGAAAGAUUAAUACCCGAUAGCAUAAUGAUUCCGCAUGGUUUCAUUAUUAAAGGAUUCCGGUAAAGGAUGGGGGUGCGUUCCAUUAGGUUGUUGGUGAGGUAACGGCUCACCAAGCCUUCGAUGGAUAGGGGUUCUGAGAGGAGGGUCCCCCACAUUGGAACUGAGACACGGUCCAA
rnacentral:rRNA from 1 species